UUUCUAUACUUCAAGUCUGAUUCAACACUUGGAUAAGCUCUUUGCAAUUUUCCCACCCAGUAACCACAGUACUUUGCUUUAAUAAGACAUAUUACCCAAAUCCUGUACAUCCCUUAGUCACAGAUCUUCUUUUUCCUCUUUUUUUUCCCCUAUGUUAAAUAAUGAUAGAUAUUUUCAAUUUAUCUAUGGCGAAUGUUAGGAUAUGACAGCUGUAUUUGUUUUUCACGAUGUAAAGUGAAUGAUAAUAGCUCACAAGCUGAUUUAUUUCCUUCUUUUCUAUCCACAAUGAUCUCACUAUGCUAUUUCAGCUUAAAAAUACGGAUAUUGAGACACCAGCUGCUUUAACUCUAGAGAAUAGUUCUUUCCUAUCUACUAACAAUUUUGCUUAAAAGAGGAGAGUCAAAAAAUAAACGAAAUACUUCUCAGAGCCAUUUAAACCAAAUAAACAAACAACAACCCACCAAAAUUGCAUACAUUUGAUAACAUUACAAGAUUUCCUUUGUUAAGGUACAAGAUAGAGAAAUUCACUUGAAGAUAACUAGUUAAGUCAUGAGUUCUCAUAGAGUUGUCAUUGUUAUUAUCAUGUUAUUGACACGAAAAUGGCUCAUUCACAUUUCCAAUUAAAUUUACUGCAUAACUUUUGUGAAGAAAAUGCUAUAAGCUGAACUAAAUAGUUUCAAUGUCUCAUAACAACAUUUUUGUUUAUUUUUGUUCUGCAUUUGGUUUUUGUUUCAGUUUGGGUAUUUUGUUGUUGUUGUUGUUUUGUUGUGUAUGUGUGUUUUAUUUUGUUUUUUUGGUUUUUGCACUAUGUUUUGUUUUAUGGGGUCUUCACUGUAAAGGAGCCUGAAAGAUUGUAUCUCCUUUUGGAAAAUAAUGCAUGCAGGGCCUGAAGGAGUGAUUUAUGCUGUGACAUAAUAUGUUUUUGACACAAAAAGUACUUGUCAAAAUGCUAGAUACAAAAGCAACUAUUCCGAGUGUUUUUAAGGUAGCAAGGAGUACCUGGCUUUCAUCACUCAAUAAUAUAUCUGACAUAAAUAAUGAUUGAAAACUGACAACCUCGAGAUGUGAUUUAGAUGCUUCCAACUCCUGAAAAUGAAAAGGUCUACAGUAGAAUGCUUGUCACAUCACAAAUAAAAAUAACCUUAACCAUCUUAAGUUCAGAGAAAUGGUCUACUAUUAUGGAGAAGGAGUUCCUUCCACUGAUAAUGCACACAGAGAACAGAGCCUACACUCGGGAUAUUAUUCAUUUCUUAUAUUAUCAACUAAAAGGAGGUGAUUGAAAAAUUAGAUGACAAAACAAAGCAAGCACAGCAUUGACUAGAGAAAAAUAUCCCUGAAGUGGAUUCUUGAAAGUGAGGAAAAGAGAAUAACUUCACCAAGCACUUGGGGACAAAGCAAUGUUUUUAUUUAUCUAAAGUCUGCUGCAGUGUUGUAUGUAUUUAUGCAAUGUUGAUUCACAAACUGAAAUUUUGUGCUGAGAUUUCGUGUUUCUUAUUUAUCAGUGAAAUGCACUGAGAACAUCACCAAGGAAGGAUCCAGAAUAAUGGUAAGAAAGAGCCCAGUCUCUUCAUUCUUUAGUCAAACUCAGUGUGCUUCCUUUCUUUUAAGAUGUGUACUUACCUUCGAAAUAGAAAGUCAGAUUUUCUUAUUACUAUGAAUAGUUUUUUCUUUAGAUAUUUUCUGCCUUUUAUCUAAGGCCAUCAUGCGCUGUAACCCAUAUGUGCACCAAUCCUCUAGCAUCUCAAGCCACUUUCUCUUUGAGUGUUCAAGUAAAAUGAUAUGACUCCCCUGCCAUAUGCAUUAGAAAAUCAAGAGCCCUUUCUGCCCCCUUGAGAUCUGGGAAAGAUUGCUUACUAGUCUUGCAAAUACUUCUUACUCUUCGAGUUUACUCUGAAAGCCUGCUUUUGCCUGAUUCUUGAUCCCUAACAGGGUUUUUCCUCCUACAGCUACCACCUUCUCUCUGCAUCAUUUCAUCCCCAAUUGGACACUACAACUGGCUCAUUAUCCAAAGUGCCAUUAUCAAAGGUUAUGUGUACAACAGACUGCUAUUGGAGGUUUAAAGAAAACAUGAAGCAGCUUUGAGUUGAAUGUUGCACAUCACUUCUCAUUUACUUUUUUUAUUCAAGCAACAAAUACUUGUUAAGCACCUACCAUGUACAGUCACUAUUUGAGAUAAAGGAAAUAACAGCAGUGAACAGAACAGAUAAAAUGUCUUGUGCUUAUAGACCUUGCAGUCUAAGUACAAUGGAGAGAAUAAAAAUAAAUAAAUAAGUUAGAGAGUGGUGUUAUCAGGAACAAUGAAGCAGGAAAGGCAAAGACUGUUAGGAGGAGUGUGAUUUCAAAAGUGUGGUGGGGAACAGACUUGGCAUCAUUUAGGAAAAAACGCAAAGCACAAAAGAAAUAAGGGAGGAAGUCAAGGAAAGAGUGUUUGGGAAGAGUGCUUUGAGAUAGGGGAAGGAGAAAAUGAAAAGCCCUGAGAUCAGAGCCUCCCUAGAAUGUUAGAAUUACAGCAGAAGGGAUACGAGCUAAUUUCUGAUAUUUCUCACCUCCUAGACCCUCUUCCAAAGUCCUAUAUUAACUGUAUUUUUUUAGUUUCUGUAUCCUCCGUGUUUUCUUACCUUGAAUCUCUUUGUCUAAGGAGUGAGUACCCCUCCCAAGACAAAUCAAAUCUUAGAACUGCAAACUAUUCUCCCGGAAGUGCAUUUUUCAUAUGCAAACUAAACAAACCAGAGCCCACGUUCAGAAGCAACUCCUCUAACUUUUACACACCAGGAGGCAGAAUUCCUUUGCCCUAAACACCCCAGGACCAGGUACUGAACACCUAGGGACCACCUCUAGCCCAGUCUACUAAACUGUCCAGCCCAAAACCUGCCCUGCUGGUUAACCUGGCUUGCCCAUUCCUUCCUGUGAAAAUUACAGUGAUGACUCGCCCACACUUCCUUAUUUAGGCUGGACAAGUACCUCUCCAAGUGGCCCUCAUGACCUGGCUUAACACACAUCUCCUCUCAUAAACAGUGUGUUCACUAAAGAGGUGACCGAAUCUGGCUAAAUAUAUCCUGUCCUGAUCUUACAGUUCAAGACAUUUUGCAAUGUUUUCAGAAGUAGCCACCUACAGACCAUAAUCGGUUGGUUUUCUUGGAGAUGCCAUGUUCUGCAUUGCCUGGACUCUAAGGAAACCACCUAUCAAAAGCAGCUAAGGAAGAGAUGCAUUGCUCUGAAGAACUUCUUACUGAAUCGGGAUUUACCAAAGCUUCAAAUAUAGGAAAGCUGACUUAAGUUCAAUGCAAAUGGAGUUUGCGCUAAUAUCAACUUAAAUCUUGAUCUACUACUACCCAGUGUUGUUUGGAAGCCACAAAUGAACUGUGGGCGUUUCUGAGCCAUCUCUAAAGCGCAGGUGUGCCCCUCAAGAGAACUCUUGGUAUAAUCUCACGAAUCUGAGACUGCUUUGUUGCCUUGACAAAUGUCCUGCUCAAAGACAAUUCUGUGAUACUGCAGAAUUUAUUGCUCAGACAGCCCUAGGUUCAAACGCAAAGCCCACGAGAUAGAGAUACCCGUGUGCCCAAGUAGCCUUGUGGUGCCAGCUGCCUGAAAGAGAAAGAAUUACUGCUCAAGUGAUAAGUCCCCAAUCAGGUCAACUGCCCCACAGCCCCUGCUUCCUGUCUACCUUGAAGAACCCCUCCUCACCACAAAUUCCUUCAUCGUGCUCCACUAUAAAUAAAGCAUUCUCGGGGUUUUUCUCCUUUGUUAGGAUCAGACUCAUCAGAUCUUUUCCACCCAAGCCCCUGCUUUCAAUAUAUUUCCAUGUCUUUUGCUUUAUUUCUUGAUAUUACUUUUUCAGUCUUAUUUCCAGAAGGU